rnacentral:tRNA from 1 species
GAGGGUAUACCUCAAGUGAUAGAGCACAUGCUUAGCAUGCAUGAGGUCCUAGGUUCAACCCCUGGUACCUCCU